rnacentral:rRNA from 1 species
CUAUGGUUUAUUGGAUCGUACCCGUUAAAUGGAUAACUGUAAUAACUCUAGAGCUAAUACAUGCCUCGAUGCUCUGACCCUGUUGGCUUGCUACUGGUGCUGCUGCCGUCGCUGCUUCGCUGCGGCGGCGGCAUGUGGUGGGUAGGUGGCAGGAGGAGGCAGGGGAUGGGUGCACUUAUUAGAUCAGAAGCCAACCAAUUGCUUGUGCGUGUGCGGCCGGUGGAAAGACCGUUGCAUGCGCGCGUGCAAGCGUUGAGAGGAGACUUCUGGUGACUCUGGAUAAUUGUUACAGAUCGCAGUCGGCCUUGAGUCGGCGACGGGUCCUUCAAGUGUCUGCCCUAUCAACUGUCGAUGGUAGGUGACCUGCCUACCAUGGUGAUAACGGGUAACGGGGAAUCAGGGUUCGAUUCCGGAGAGGGAGCCUGAGAAACGGCUACCACUUCCAAGGGAGGCAGCAGGCGCGCAAAUUACCCACUCCCGGCACGGGGAGGUGGUGACGAAAAAUACCGAUGCGGGACUCCUUCAAGAGGCUCCGUAAUCGGAAUGAGUGGACUCUAAAUCCUUUCACGAGGAUCAAUUGGAGGGCAAGUCUGGUGCCAGCAGCCGCGGUAACUCCAGCUCCAAUAGCGUAUAUUAAAGUUGCUGCAGUUAAAAAGCUCGUAGUUGGAUCUCGGUAGCAUUGUUGCCUGUUGGUAAUUGAGCGGCCGGUGUGUGGUCAAUGAUGCACGAUCUCGCCACAUUGUCUGCAUGUGUGCGUGCGGGGGGGGCGCGGGUCGGUUUGGUUGGUAGCCGGCAGGCGGGUGGGUAAGUUGGAUGGUCGCUCUAGUUGGUCGAUUGACCGCGGUGGGGGAGCAAGCUUGCGUGCGUGCGUGCGUGCUUGCUUGCUCGCCUGCUGACUGUGCGUCUGUCAACUGGCCCACCGGCUGCCUGCUGGCUGGCUGGCUGGCUGGCCGGCUGGUGCGUUGACUCGCUGCUACGGCUCGCUUGCAGUGUGUGUUCGUGUGGGUUGUGUUGUCGUGGCCAUGAAGAAGCACUGCCGUGUCAAGCCGGCAAGGCGACGGUGUCACCUUUAAGCCAUGUCUGUGGUGUAACAGCCGCAGGUGUGGACGGGUGUUGGGCGGUGCUCUGCACGCGUUGUGGGGCCUGUCGGCUCGUCUGCAUGCCUUUGGAUGCCCUUGAAAAGGUGUCCGCGGGCGGAUGGCACGUUUACUUUGAACAAAUUUGAGUGCUCAAGGCAGGCCGAUGUUGCCUGAAAAGUUUUGCAUGGAAUAAUGGAAUAGGACUUCGGUUCUAUUUCGUUGGUUUUCGGAUCCGAAGUAAUGAUCAAAAGAGACAGGCGGGGACGUUUGUACGGCUGCGCUAGAGGUGAAAUUCAUGGACCGUAGCCAGACAAACUAAAGCGAAAGCAUUCGUCAAGCAUGUUUUCAUUGGCCAUGAGCGAAAGUCAGAGGCUCGAAGACGAUCAGAUACCGUCCUAGUUCUGACCAUAAACGAUGCCAACUGACGAUCCGUGGUGGUAGUAAUGUUACCUUCCCCACGGGCAGUCCCCGGGAAACCUUUAAGUGUUUGGGUUCCGGGGGAAGUAUGGUUGCAAAGCUGAAACUUAAAGGAAUUGACGGAAGGGCACCACCAGGAGUGGAGCCUGCGGCUUAAUUUGACUCAACACGGGAAAACUCACCCGGGCCGGACACUAUGAGGAUUGACAGAUUGAGAGCUCUUUCUUGAUUUGGUGGUUGGUGGUGCAUGGCCGUUCUUAGUUGGUGGAGCGAUUUGUCUGGUUAAUUCCGAUAACGAACGAGACUCCAGCCUGCUAAUUAGUGCAUUUGUCCACUGCACCUGGGUAGGUGAUGCUGGAUGCCACCAUUCGCCAUAGGCGGCUCAGUCCUGCUUUACCCCUUCCUGCUGCCUCUGCUGCUGCCUCUGCUGCUGCCUCUGCCUCCCCCUGCUCCUGCUCCUGCUCCUGCUCCUGGUUGGUUGGGAGGGGGGGGGUUGUUGGUCGGGGGUGAGGAAAUGCGGGGUUGGUAGCAGCCGCAGCCGCAGCAUCGGCAGCCGGGAGGGGAGUAUGGAGUGGGGCUUGACGCUUGUGGUUGGUUAGUCUAGUUUUGGCCUCCGGGUGUGGCGCGAAUGCUUACUUCUUAGAGGGACAAGCGGGAGAAGCCGCACGAAAUAGAGCAAUAACAGGUCUGUGAUGCCCUUAGAUGUCCGGGGCCGCACGCGCGCUACAAUGACGGUGUCAGCGAGUCAGACCUUCUGGCCCGAAAGGGUUGGGCAAACUGGUCAAUCACCGUCGUGACAGGGAUCGGGGCUUGGAAUUGUUCUCCGUGAACGAGGAAUUCCUAGUAAGUGCAAGUCAUAAGCUUGCGCUGAUUACGUCCCUGCCCUUUGUACACACCGCCCGUCGCUACUACCGAUUGAAUGGUUUAGUAAGGUCCUUGGAUUGGCGUCAUUGCGGCGGUGGCUGGAAGGUCGCAGCCCGACAGGCGCUGAGAAGACGACCGAACUUGAUCAUUUAGA